rnacentral:rRNA from 1 species
GGACCAGACUCCUACGGGAGGCAGCAGUGGGGAAUAUUGCACAAUGGGGGAAACCCUGAUGCAGCAACGCCGCGUGAGUGAAGAAGUAUUUCGAUAUGUAAAGCUCUAUCAGCAGGGAAGAAGAUGACGGUACCUGAGUAAGAAGCCCCGGCUAACUACGUGCCAGCAGCCGCGGUAAUACGUAGGGGGCAAGCGUUAUCCGGAUUUACUGGGUGUAAAGGGAGCGUAGACGGUCCUGCAAGCCAGAUGUGAAAGCCCGGGGCUCAACCCCGGGACUGCAGUUGGAACUGUAAGGCUAGAGUGUCGGAGAGGCAGGCGGAAUUCCUGGUGUAGCGGUGAAAUGCGUAGAUAUUAGGAGGAACACCAGUGGCGAAGGCGGCCUGCUGGACGAUGACUGACGUUGAGGCUCGAAAGCGUGGGGAGCAAACAGGAUUAGAUACCCCCGUA